GGGUGGAUAGGUUGAAUGGUAAACUGUCGGGCUCCAAACCCGAAGCUCCAGGUUCGAGUCCUGGUCCACCUG
rnacentral:tRNA from 1 species